rnacentral:misc_RNA from 1 species
CGCACAUUGCGCCCUUUGGCAUCCCGAAGGGCAUGCCUGUUCGAGCGUCAUUAUCACCAUUCAAGCCUGGCUUGGUAUUGGGUGCCGUCCUGCCCUCUGCGGCGGGACGCUCUCUAAAACUAUCGGCGGUGCAACACCGGCUUCGAGCGUAGCAGACCUUCGCUUUCGAGGUUACCGGUGUGGCAGCGGCCGCGACGCACAACCUUUUGGUUGACCUCGGAUCAGGUAGGGAUACCCGCUGAACUUAA